rnacentral:rRNA from 1 species
UGGGGAAUAUUGCACAAUGGGCGCAAGCCUGAUGCAGCCAUGCCGCGUGUGUGAAGAAGGCCUUCGGGUUGUAAAGCACUUUCAGCGAGGAGGAAGGUGGUGAGCUUAAUACGCUCAUCAAUUGACGUUACUCGCAGAAGAAGCACCGGCUAACUCCGUGCCAGCAGCCGCGGUAAUACGGAGGGUGCAAGCGUUAAUCGGAAUUACUGGGCGUAAAGCGCACGCAGGCGGUUUGUUAAGUCAGAUGUGAAAUCCCCGGGCUCAACCUGGGAACUGCAUUUGAAACUGGCAAGCUAGAGUCUCGUAGAGGGGGGUAGAAUUCCAGGUGUAGCGGUGAAAUGCGUAGAGAUCUGGAGGAAUACCGGUGGCGAAGGCGGCCCCCUGGACGAAGACUGACGCUCAGGUGCGAAAGCGUGGGGAGCAAAACAGGAUUAGAUACCCUGGUAGUCCACGCUGUAAAACGAUGUCGAUUUUGGAGGUUGUGCCCCUUGAGGCGUGGCUUCC